UGGGGGAUUUUGGACAAUGGGCGCAAGCCUGAUCCAGCCAUGCCGCGUGCGGGAAGAAGGCCUUCGGGUUGUAAACCGCUUUUGUCAGGGAAGAAAUCCUUUGAGCUAAUACCUCGGGGGGAUGACGGUACCGUAAGAAUAAGCACCGGCAAACUACGUGCCAGCAGCCGCGGUAAUACGUAGGGUGCGAGCGUUAAUCGGAAUUACUGGGCGUAAAGCGUGCGCAGGCGGUUUUGUAAGACAGAGGUGAAAUCCCCGGGCUCAACCUGGGAAUUGCCUUUGUGACUGCAAGGCUUGAGUGCGGCAGAGGGGGAUGGAAUUCCGCGUGUAGCAGUGAAAUGCGUAGAUAUGCGGAGGAACACCGAUGGCGAAGGCAAUCCCCUGGGCCUGCACUGACGCUCAUGCACGAAAGCGUGGGGAGCAAACA
rnacentral:rRNA from 1 species